rnacentral:rRNA from 1 species
UUAGAGUUUGAUCAUGGCUCAGGACGAACGCUGGCGGCGUGCCUAAUACAUGCAAGUAGAACGCUGAAGAGAGGAGCUUGCUCUUCUUGGAUGAGUUGCGAACGGGUGAGUAACGCGUAGGUAACCUGCCUUGUAGCGGGGGAUAACUAUUGGAAACGAUAGCUAAUACCGCAUAACAAUGGAUGACACAUGUCAUUUAUUUGAAAGGGGCAAUUGCUCCACUACAAGAUGGACCUGCGUUGUAUUAGCUAGUAGGUGAGGUAAUGGCUCACCUAGGCGACGAUACAUAGCCGACCUGAGAGGGUGAUCGGCCACACUGGGACUGAGACACGGCCCAAACUCCUACGGGAGGCAGCAGUAGGGAAUCUUCGGCAAUGGGGGCAACCCUGACCGAGCAACGCCGCGUGAGUGAAGAAGGUUUUCGGAUCGUAAAGCUCUGUUGUAAGUCAAGAACGGGUGUGAGAGUGGAAAGUUCACACUGUGACGGUAGCUUACCAGAAAGGGACGGCUAACUACGUGCCAGCAGCCGCGGUAAUACGUAGGUCCCGAGCGUUGUCCGGAUUUAUUGGGCGUAAAGCGAGCGCAGGCGGUUUGAUAAGUCUGAAGUUAAAGGCUGUGGCUCAACCAUAGUUCGCUUUGGAAACUGUCAAACUUGAGUGCAGAAGGGGAGAGUGGAAUUCCAUGUGUAGCGGUGAAAUGCGUAGAUAUAUGGAGGAACACCGGUGGCGAAAGCGGCUCUCUGGUCUGUAACUGACGCUGAGGCUCGAAAGCGUGGGGAGCGAACAGGAUUAGAUACCCUGGUAGUCCACGCCGUAAACGAUGAGUGCUAGGUGUUGGAUCCUUUCCGGGAUUCAGUGCCGCAGCUAACGCAUUAAGCACUCCGCCUGGGGAGUACGAUCGCAAGAUUGAACUCAAAAGGAAUUGACGGGGGCCCGCACAAGCGGUGGAGCAUGUGGUUUAAUUCGAAGCAACGCGAAGAACCUUACCAGGUCUUGACAUCCCGAUGCUAUUUCUAGAGAUAGAAAGUUACUUCGGUACAUCGGUGACAGGUGGUGCAUGGUUGU